AGUGUAUUUAGAGUUCCAAUUCCAGGGGACUUACGGCCAACACACCUCCGAUGAGACCCUAUCAGACACCUCCAAGCUUUCGGGCAGCCCUGCUUAGCAUGCUUGCGCGUUCCCUUAGUGGUCCAAACCUCGCAUCCAUGAACUCGGCUUCGCCGACUCUGAGAAUUCCACGAUUUUUCGUUAGCUUGUGUGUCUUCCUACGGCUCUAAUCCUGGACAUGUGCUGAGAGACCCCUGGCUUGGAGAAGGUGUUACGGAGGCCCAGAGAGGACAAGAUUUUCAGAGGCUGCUAACCCUUCACCCGUGAACUUGGGUGCAGGUCUGGCCUGGGUUUAAACCCUUGUCCUGCUACUGACCGGCUAAGAGAUCCUGGACAAGUGACUUUUUUUUUUUUUUGGCAGAGCCUCGCUCUGUCGCCCAGGCUGCAGUGCAAUGGCGCGAUUUCGGCUCACUGCAACCUCUGCCUCCCGAGUUUAAGUAAUUCUCUUGCCUCAGCCUCACGAGUAACUGGAAUUACAGGAGUGCGCCGCCACGCCCAGCUCUUUUUUUUUUUUUUUCCUGUAUUUUUAGUAGAGACGGGGUUUUGCCAUGUUGGCCAAGCUGGUGACAAGUGACAUCUCUGUUUGAGUCUCAGUUUCUCCCCCUUUUAUAAACUAGGGAUUAUAAUCAUACUUGUUAUUCGUCUUUCUGUUUUGCCUUGUUGUGUUAUUUGGGAAGACUUAGUUAGCUAGCGAAUGUAAAACAUGAGGUCCUGGGCCUCAUGCUUAAGUGGUCAAUAUUCAAGGUGCUGUGAUUUUGAACUUUAUAAAUUACCUGGAGGGAGUGCAAGCUUUGCAUUGGGAUAUUCUAAAUAUUUGUCAUUUUAUUAUCUGUUACCUCCACUUUUCUCUAGGUCUCAGCUCUUAGUAUCUCUCGCUCUAGGAAGCUCCCCCUGAGCCCAUUUCCCAUUCUUCCUGGCCCCCUCAGCUCCUCCAUCCCACGCCGAUCACUUUGUGUCAUCACUGUCAGGGAUGGGUGUGUCUCCCCAACUGGGCAGGCUGACCUGGGACUGUUGUGGUCACUGCUGUAUCUCCAGCACUGCCCUGGGGAUGAUUCCUGAAAGAAAGUAUGAGGCUCUCAGCCGGGCGUGGUAGCUCACGCCUAUAAUAUAGCACUUUGGGAGGCUGAGGCGGGCGAAUCACGAGGUCAGGAAUUGGAGACCAGCAUGACCAACAUGUUGAAACCUUGUCUCUACUAAAAAUAUAAAAAUUAGCUGGGUGUAGUGGCGCGCGCCUGUAAUCCCAGCUAUUCGAGAGGCUGAGGCAGGAGAAUCUCUUGAACCCGAGAGGCGGAGGUUACAGUGAGCCGAGAUCGCGCCAUUGAACUUUAGCCUGGGCCACAGAGUGAGACUCCACGCCUCAAAAAAAAAAAAAAAAAAAAAAAAGAGCGCUUUGGGAGGCCAAAGCCCAAGGCGGGUGGAUCACAAGAUCAGGAGAUCAAGACCAUCUGGCCAACGUGGUUAAACCCCGUCUCUACUAAAAAUACAAAAAAUUAGCCGGGCGUGGUGGCGCGCACCUGUAAUCCCAGCUACUCAGGAAGCUGAACCAUGAGAAUCGCUUGAACCUGGGAGGCGGAGGUUGCUGUGAGCCAAGAUCGCGCCGCUGCACUCCAGCCUGGGCGACAGAGCAAGACCGUCUCAAAAAAAAAAAAAAAAUAGCUGGUGUGGUGGCAUGCACCUGUGGUCCAGCUACUCUAAGGCUGAAGUGGGAGGGACGCCGGAGCCCAGGAGUUCGAGGUGGCAGUGAACUGUGAUCACACUACUGCACUCCAGCCUGGACGACAGAGUGAGACCCUGUCUCUAAAAAAAAAUAAUCAUAAUAAGUAAAAACUUCGCCAUUUCUACUCUAAGUCACAGGACAGGCACUCUUCUCUCCACUAGGGGGCGCAAAAUACUGAUCGGGGCUGUGAUUUCAGGUUCUAAGGGAGAAAGGGGCUGGGGAUCCAAACUUUAGGUCCUGAGGAAAAGGGAUUGGGGGAUCCCAGACUCUUGAGUUCUAGGGAAAGAAGAAUCUAGGGGCCUGGACUCUGGGGGCCCUGAGGGGAAUGGGGUUCUGAGAAAGGAAGGAGGAGUCUGAGACAAGCACCAGGAUUGGUUGGAAGCGGAACUGGUCCGGGCAGUGCUUUAGUUUGGCUCCAGUCCGUGGGAAUCAAGUGCACAGAGCAGGGAUUGUUCCUGCAGGAUCUACCCUUCCCCACCACCCCCUGCGCUUGGCAGCCUCAGUCCUUCCCAGGCCCCGGGUACUCUGGGGCAUUACCCGCAGUCCCUCCCCAGGGCGCCUGUUUUCUACUGGACUCAACCGCCCAGCCUCAAGACCUGGAAAAGCUGCCCCAAGAGUGUUGAAACCCUGACUGGAAGUUAAUGGAGAAAUACAAGCUGUGGAUCCCCAGAGACCAAUAGCCCCACCCAUGGGACUUGGGAAGCAGGACCACCCUGGAUCCCCUCAGGAUACAGGAAUCACCGCCCCCAGUCUUCUUCAUUCAUGGUCCCAGCACUGGCCUCCUUCAGACCACGGAGCCUCUGCUUAUCUGUACCUUCUGCCUUCUGUGCUUUUUGCUUGCAAUUAAGGUUUUCUUUUUUCUUGUUUUUUGAGACGGAGUCUUGCUCUGCUGCCCAGGCUGGAGUGAAGUGGUGCUAUCUCGGCUCACUGCAACCUCUGCCUCCCGGGUACAAGCAAUUCUCCUGCCUCAGCCUCCAGGUAACUGGGAUUACAGGCAUGCAUCACCAGACUUGGCUAAUUUUUGUAUUUUUAUUUUCAUUCAUUCAUUUUAUUUAUUAAGACAGAGUUUUGUAUUUUUAUUUUCAUUCAUUCAUUUUAUUUAUUGAGACAGAGUUUUGCUCUUUUUGCCCAGGCUGGAGUGCAAUGGCGUGAUCUCGGCUCAUUGAAACCUCUGCUUCCCAGGUUCAAGCCAUCUCCUGCUUCAGCCUCCUACAUAGCUGGGAUUACAAGCAUGUGCCACCAUGCCCAGCUAAUUUUUUGUAAUGUUAGUAGAGACAGGGUCUCUCCAUGUUGGUCAGGCUGGUCUCAAACUCCCGACGUUAGGUGAUCGGCCCACCUCAGUCUCCCAAAGUGCUGGGGUUACAGGCAUGAGCCACCAUGCCCAGCCAUUUUUAGUAGAGAUGGGGUUUCACCAUGUGGCCAGGCUAAUCUCAAACUCCUUAACCUCAAAUGAUCCGCCCUCCUUGGCCUCCCAAAGUGCUGUGAUUACAGGCAUGAGCCACCACGCCCAGCCCUUUUUGUUUUUGUUUGAGUCAGGGUCUCCUCCAUUGCCCAGGCUGGAGGGCAGUGGUGCCAUCUCAGCUCACUGCAGCCUCGACCUCCUGGGCUCAAGCAAUUCUCCUGCCUCUGUCUCCUGAGUAGCUGGGAUUACAGGCACACACCACCACGCCUAGCUCUACUAAAAUUCGUCUCCACUAAAAUUUUUCUAUUUUUGUAUUUUUAGUAGAGAUGGGUUUCACUGUGUUGGCCAGGAUGGUCUCGGGCUCUCUUGACCUCGUGAUCUGCCCGCCGUGGCCUCCCACACUUCUGGGAUUGCAGGCAUGAGCCACCGCACCCAGCCCUGUCCUUUUUUUUUUGAGACGGUCUUCGCUCUGCAGCCCACGGUGGAGUGCUCUGUCUAAGGUUGGCCACACCCAGGGCUUUGAAGUCUUCAGCUUCAGUCUUCUUCCUUGCCUCUAUUGGUGUCUGAAAUUAACUUCUCCUUUUGUCUUUUUGUUCCCUGAGGGCUAGGGUCUCUCCGUUUGUGGCCUCAGGAUGGAGUAGAGCUCCUGGCUUUCUUUGUUCGUGACACCAAGAACCUGGAACCAUCCACCAUUAACAGCUGGACCCUGACAGAAGCCACUGUGGACUAUCUGUAUCUAUGAUUGGUCAUUUUACAGAUGAGAAAGCCGAAUUUUGGCCUGGUGCGGUGGUUCAUGCCUGUAAUCCCAGUACUUUGGGAGGCUGAGGUGACUGGAUCACUUGAGGUCAGAGUUUGAGACCAGCCUGGCCAACAUGGCAAAACCCUGUCUCUAUUAAAAAUACAAACGUUAGCCAGGCAUAGUGACACAUGCCUGUAAUCCCAGCUACUCCAGAGGCUGAGGCACAAGAGAAUUGCUGGAGCCUGGGAGGUGGAGGGUGCAUUGAGCUGAGAUUGCACCACUGCAGUCCAGCCUGGGUGACAGAGUAAGACCCUGUCUCAAAGAGAGAAAGCCAGACUUCAAUAAAGAGUAGUCUCUAGGCCAGGUGCAGUGGCUCAUGCCUGUAAUCCCAGCACUUUGGGAGGCUGAGGUGGGUGAAUCAUGAGGUCAGGAGUUUGAGACCAGCCUGGCCAACAUAGUGAAACCCCAUCUCUACUAAAAAUACAAAAAUUAGCCAGGUAUGGUGGUGUGUGCCUGUAAUACCAGCUACUCAGGAGACUGAGGCAGGAGAAUCACUUGAACCCAGGAGGCUGAGGUUGCAGUAAACUGAGAUUGUGCCACUGCACUCCAGCCUUUGUGACAGUGAGAUUCUGUAUCAAAAUAAAAGAGUAAUCUCUAAUUGCUCUUAUGAUUAUUUAUUGUUACUAUUCACUCCUUUAUUCCCAUGGAUUGGGUUAGGGCUCCAUACAUACAGUAGGUGCUCAUUAAAUGCUGGCUAGAUUGAGUCAGCCCCUCCAUCCUGGCCCCUGAGUCCUCAGAAAAGCAGUGACAUCCAUAAGGAACUUGAAUUGUUUUUUAUUGAGAAGAAUUCAGGCUAGAGGCGGGAGCGUGACGCAAGAGCUGCUGGGAAUGGGGCCUCGGUCUGAACCUGGGGGUCCAGGGGAGCGGGGACUCUC